GUUUAUUUUCUUUACAACUUAAAAGAACAUUAACAUAUGGUUUUUUUACUGUUCAUUUAUUAUAGAAUGUAACAAGGCACGCAUAUGGUUACCAAUGGAUAGAAUCCUAUCUAAGCUCCUCAUCUGGCUUUGUUACUCAUUAGCCUUUUUCAUUCAUCUUCAUGCAUUGAGUUCUCACUGCAAAAUCUGACCACAAAACAUUUAUUUCAGUUGUCUCCUGUGCGAAUUGAGCAAGUUUAGCAUGGCAGAUUUGCCACGUUAUUUGAUAGCUUGCUUGCAAACUGGGAAACUGGCUAUGCUAGCAAUUCUGGUUUCAGGGGGAAUUGUGUUGCAGAUACUGGUCAGUUUUGCUCUGUUUAGUGAAUUUCCUUCACUUCAUUUAGUUGCAACUGUAUACUGUUAUCCUGUUAAAGUCAUUUUUCUGAUUAGUUCUUUUAUGAUUUUGCAGGCAUGUGCUUUGUACAACAAUUGGUGGCCAAUGUUAACAGGUAGUUUAUAUGCAGAUUUCUUUGGCUUUUCCAUUGUUUCAAGCAGAAAAUAUGGUUCAAUUGUUAAAAAAUAUUCCUAAAUUCAUCUGAAAGCAUUCAAGCACUACACUGAAUAUUAAAUUAUGGACAUUUCACCAAUAAGCCUAUUGCAAACUUAACCAGUUUCACCAAAAAUGUAAUCUAGGUUAGCAAGAAAAUGUGUAAAUAUAAGCGACAAUACAUAAAACAUUGGCAAAAUAGUGUUAUGUUUCAUUAAUUCAAUAUUUAUUGGGCUUUUAAAAGCAGAGCUUCAACCUUUAAAUGAUUUGAAAUUUGCAUGACAACGCUCUGGUUUUUUCUGAAACCACUUUAUAUCAAAAUGAUUAUAUAUGCAUUUACUUUGAACAUACUUUUGAAGAAUGUACUCUGGUUUGAAGGUCAAAUGCAACAAUAUGCAUUUUCUCUGAUACAUUAAUUUGCGGAUCUCAAUGAGGAGGUCUAAACGGAUCGAAAUGGUGCUCCAAGUUUCGGCCGAGAAAUGGUGAAAAUAUUGGGAUUUGUGUUUUGACAUGUUACUUUUUUCAUUUAAGAUCGUGUAACUACAUGUAAAACAUGUGACGCAGCGCGAAACAAGGAAUUCAAGCCAAAACCUUAAGAACAAGAAAUUUGGAACCCACCAAAUAAUAAAGAAAAUAAAUUUACUAAUUUUAUUAAUGAAAAAAAAAAGCCCUUAUUUAUAAGAGUUUAUAUGGAAACGUAGUUUAGAAUAACUAAAAGUAAUGAAAAAGAAGUUUAAACAAACUAAAAUUGCAAAAAAACCAAAAUAGACGAAUUGCAAAAGUAGCUCCAAAAUUUUAAAAAUCAGUUUUCAAGGCCUAAACGUACUUGAAUGGCCGAAAUUCGUCGUACAUCAUAGCAUAGCGGUGAGUAUUGUUCCUCUCGUCGUUCUUCUUCCAAAAUAGUCUUAUGGGCCUGAUCUGGAAUUAAGAUGAUGUUUUAUUUCUACUAGUGUUUCUUUCCCUAAUAUGACCAAUAUGUCCUACAUCAACAUGAAAUAAUUACCAAAACUCGAUUUAUUCCAUAACCUGUAUAUCUGUAACAUCAUGUUGAAAAGACCAUAAGAGUAAAAUAUUAAAUUGCAACAAACAAAAAUUUAAAUCCUAACUAUAAGUAACAUACUAAUAAAUGAACUUUUAAAGCUUCGUAAUCUGAUGUCUGGGCUCUGAUGGCAAUUAUCAACAUCCUGACUCAAGUGAUUAUGCAAAUGUAGAAAUUAGCUAAGUAUAGAUUAGCCUAUAAAUACACUCAGUAUGAAUCGUGCCAAUAAUUUUCAUAAUUUAAUAAUCCAACACAUCUGAAGUGAAAUGUUGAUGAAGAAACUGACCAUUUCAAUCUUAGAUAGGGCACCCCGCCUAAGUUUCAAUGUAGAUCUAUGUACCAAGUGGUUUUAGCCAUCAUAAUCAUCUCAAUCUCUGAAGAAUAUAUCAAAAUGAUUAUAUAUGCAUUUGUACAUAUUUUUAAUAAUUAAGUUGGUUGGCAAAAAUAGUACUCUGGUUUCUGAUAAUCAUAUUCUUGCAUUGUUCCUCUGCAGUAUUAAUGUAUGUUCUUCUACCUAUGCCUCUGAUUUUCUUUGCUGGGUAGCAAGUAGGUAAAGCUUUCUCCUUCAAAACUGAUCGUUUUAUUUUUUCUAGAAUCAUAAAAGUUAUGGCAUCAUUCUCAGUUUAAUGAAAAUUGUCUAUAUGACUAUAUAUAUAUGUAUUUCGACCUCAUACUUGCGUUUUUUACAAUCACACCAAGCAACAGUUGGGUUGAUGCGACAAAGUUCUUGACUGGAGCUUCAGCUGUUGGCAGUAUUGCUAUACCAAUUAUUUUAAAGCAUGCUGGCGUAAUUGGUUGGGGAGCCAUGGCAAUGGAACUCUCAUCGUUUUUCAUACUUGUCAUGGCCAUUUUGUGUUACCUUGGAACAAGCAAUGACGAUGGAUACAGUACAUUUUGAAGUACAAAACCUUUAUUUGGGAUAAGGAGGUUUCUUUUGCCAGCGAGUGUUGUUUGCUUGAGCAUGUGCUCCUGUGAUUGUGAUUUGUAUAUGCAUGUGUUUACAUUCAUAGAUUGUUCGUUAUCAAAAGAUGUUGAAGUGGUUAUCCACUAGAUAACAGCGAUGAAUGUACUUUGAUUGGAUACUCGAAAUUUGUUUAUAAAAUGAAGCCUUUUGACAUUACUUAUAGAAACU
rnacentral:lncRNA from 1 species